rnacentral:lncRNA from 1 species
UGCAUUGCAUCCAUGAGCAUCAUGCCACAAUUGCAUGUUUGAGUUCAAAUUUUGAAUCACAAAAGGCUUUAAGAGAUUUUGUUUACAUCCCUGUAACCUUUGGAUUUUCAAACCAAUAGGGUUGAUGUAUAAAAGGGUUUAAUGCAUAUAUAAGCUAUCCCAUAAUUUUUGGUUAACUAUUUGGAGUUGAAAAAGUAUUUUAUUCAAACAGAUAUAUAGCCCUAAAGUCAUUUAUAGGGCAAAUGUAUUUUUACAUAUUUUAUUUUGAAGAGAAACUACUUCCAAAAGUUGUAUCUUGGUAGAACAUGAUUUUACAAAUUUUCUGGAAUUUGUUUGGACCAAUUUGGAGUUCAAACACAAAAGAUAUCAAAGAAAUGAGAAAAGCAGAAAAAGAAAAGGCCUAAAAGAAAAAAAAAGGGGUAAACCAGACCGGCCCGGCCAAAAUGGGCCGAACCGGCCCAGUCCGACCGUGCCCGACCGGCCCAGACCACCCAGUCCGUGCGCGCGCGCCCACAGUCGCUGACGGGUCCACCUGUCAGCUGCGUCUUCCCCGAAGGAAAGCGCCGCCGGUCACGCGCGCGAUUUCCGGCCGCCGUCCCCGCGCGCCCGCCGCCGCAAUCUCCUCCUCCGGCCUUCCAUUUUCACGCCCGAGCACGCCUUUAUAACCCCCGCGACCUCCUCUCUCUUUCCCCCUUGUUUCCCCAUCCAAUCGCACCGCCAGGCUGCCCCGAUUUCUCGCCGGAGCCCGACCGCGCCGCUCGCCCGUCUUCGUCCUCGGCGCCGACCCCGCCGUCCCCGACCGCGCCCCGUCUCCGCCGUGCCGCGCCGCACCUCCCCGUGUCUUCCCCG